CCGAGUGGCGGACGGGUGAGUAACGCGUGGGUAACCUGCCUCAUACAGGGGGAUAACGGUUAGAAAUGACUGCUAAUACCGCAUAAGCGCACAGUACCGCAUGGUACGGUGUGAAAAACUCCGGUGGUAUGAGAUGGACCCGCGUCUGAUUAGCUAGUUGUGGGGUAACGGCCCGCCAAGGCGACGAUCGGUAGCCGGACUGAGAGGUUGAACGGCCACAUUGGGACUGAGACACGGCCCAG
rnacentral:rRNA from 1 species